CACGUGCUACAAUGGCGCAUACAGAGUGCUGCGAACCUGCGAGGGUAAGCGAAUCACUUAAAGUGCGUCGUAGUCCGGAUUGGAGUCUGCAACUCGACUCCAUGAAGUCGGAAUCGCUAGUAAUCGCAUAUCAGAAUGAUGCGGUGAAUACGUUCCCGGGCCUUGUACACACCGCCCGUCACACCAUGGGAGUGGGUUGCUCCAGAAGUGGAUAGUCUAACCUUCGGGAGGACGUUCACCACGGAGUGAUUCAUGACUGGGGUGAAGUCGUAACAAGGUAGCCCUAGGGGAACCUGGGGCUGGAUCACCUCCUUA
rnacentral:rRNA from 1 species